rnacentral:lncRNA from 1 species
UUAUAACAUCCAGUCAUUUAUUACGUUUGCUUUGUUAGGUUACAUCUGCACUGUGUUCACAUUUUUUUUUUUUACUAAAACAUACAACUUAUAGUAAUAGUAGUUGCAAAAAAUAUACAAAAUGAACAUAUCUUUUAUUUUUAUGAUCUGUCUACUCGUUCUGGUGACUUUAAGCGAAGCUAAGCCAAGAUACAAAAAUGGCAGGAUGGGACGGUUUCGGUUCCCCUUCAGCGAGGAGAGUAAGGAGAGCGAAGAGGACUCCAAAGAGAACUCUCCGUGCGACGGCUGUACUAUAAACAACAUUGGAAACGGCUACAAAAACCAUAAUGAAGUUCACAUGUAUGAAAGGGGAAUACCAAAAUAGAAAUUCUGUACAUACUGCAAA